rnacentral:rRNA from 1 species
AUUGAACGCUGGCGGCAGGCCUAACACAUGCAAGUCGAGCGGAUGAAGGGAGCUUGCUCCUGGAUUCAGCGGCGGACGGGUGAGUAAUGCCUAGGAAUCUGCCUGGUAGUGGGGGAUAACGUCCGGAAACGGGCGCUAAUACCGCAUACGUCCUGAGGGAGAAAGUGGGGGAUCUUCGGACCUCACGCUAACAGAUGAGCCUAGGUCGGAUUAGCUAGUUGGUGGGGUAAAGGCCUACCAAGGCGACGAUCCGUAACUGGUCUGAGAGGAUGAUCAGUCACACUGGAACUGAGACACGGUCCAGACUCCUACGGGAGGCAGCAGUGGGGAAUAUUGGACAAUGGGCGAAAUCCUGAUCCAGCCAUGCCGCGUGUGUGAAGAAGGUCUUCGGAUUGUAAAGCACUUUAAGUUGGGAGGAAGGGCAGUAAGUUAAUACCUUGCUGUUUUGACGUUACCAACAGAAUAAGCACCGGCUAACUUCGU